UGGAAACCAGCCUCACCAGGGAAAUAAGGGAUGUCUUCCUGAAGGAGGUGAUGUUUGAGCCAUGAUAUGAAAUAAUGGAAGUUUCCAGGCAAAAGGGAUCAGGAUAGUCCUCCAUGCAAGGGGGCCAGGAGAGGGUCUGAGAGGUCUUCUUGGAGGAAGGGGCUACAAAGCAGACACCUGAAGACCAACGAGGGGCCAAUCGGAUGAAGACAAGGCUCCCCGAGACAGUGUUUCAGGGAAAGGGACAACCACACGCAUCCAGAGAUCUCAGAGGAUCCAGCCAACCAGCAACAGAAUGUGGUGGUGGCUGAUAUCUGUCCUGAUGUAUGGUGAUUGUGAUACAGACUCUUCAUCCAGGACUAAACACAAAGCAACGCUUGAACUCAUAACUCUGAGAUCAAGACCCCAGCUGAUGGGGCACCUGAAUGGCUCAGUAUUAUCUUUUCACUUUCUUGAUGGUGUUUUGGCACAUGAAAGUUUUUAAUUUCAAGUGUCACUGG